GAUGAAGAACGUAGCGAAAUGCGAUAAGUAAUGCGAAUUGCAGAAUUCAGUGAAUCAUCGAAUCUUUGAACGCACAUUGCGCCCCCUGGUAUUCCGGGGGGCAUGCCUGUCCGAGCGUCAUUACAACCCUCAAGCUCAGCUUGGUGUUGGGCCCCGCCGCCCCGGCGGGCCCUAAAGUCAGUGGCGGUGCCGUCCGGCUCCGAGCGUAGUAAUUCUUCUCGCUCUGGAGGUCCGGUCGCGUGCUCGCCAGCAACCCCCAAUUUUUUCAGGUUGACCUCGGAUCAGGUAGGGAUACCCGCUGAACUUAAGCAUAUCAAUAAGCGGAGGA
rnacentral:misc_RNA from 1 species